AGAGCGAGAGUGAAAAGCCAUGUUGCCAGUACAUGCUAAUUCGAUCCAGUGGGUUACGCUAUUUGUAGGCUAUGAGGUCUUCAGUUCUUGUAGGUGGCUAUGUCCAGGAAAAAAAGGUCAGAAAUUUGGUUAUGUCUUGAAAGAAACGCCAGAGACAGGUUCUGUUUGACGAGUCAAUCUUUGAAAAUUCAUCUCUCGCUAUCACUGUGUGUCUCUUGUCAUCAUUUAUCACUGUGCAAGACAAAACGGCAUCUGAUUUGCUUAGUAAGCUUCUUGGUGGUUCAGCUUCCUCCAUGGAGCCUCCGACAAAACUACUUAAUUUGAUGGGAUUGGUGUUUCUCCUUGCUCCAAUGUGGACUGUGGAGGACAGAAAUACAGAUUCCAAACGAGGUUUGCACUACAAAAACUCAGGGCAAUAGCCAAAGACUCUUCUGAUUUGUGCUAAAUGUAGUUUCUCUGAAUUCAGUCCAUCUUGUGUUUCUCAAUCAUUGCGGAAUCUUGACAAUCCACGGCGAUGAUUUUGUCAGUUUUUCCAGGUCACUGCACAACAUCGCACGUAGUCACCUUCCAUGGUCUCACCAACGUACUAACGGAUGACUAUGCAAUGAUGCUGGUUCUUCUAAUGUGAUAUGCCAUCAGAGUCUUCAGUCUACCUUUGCUUUCUUUGGGACGAAGUAGAAGAAGAAAAGGCUCAGCCUCAUGCUGCAAUAUUCUGUUUCCUUCGAGUUGAAGUAUGACAGGAAAGGUCAUAACCUGAUGCAGUAUACCUUUAUAUAAGAUUAAAAAAGAAAAAUCUGAACUUGUGUCAGGCAUCUUUUCGGUGGGUAAUUAUACAUCACCUGUACUGUGUUUUUUCUUUCUUUCCAGACACACAUGAUAGAUGCAUAUUGUUGCAUUAAGAGGAAGAAUAAUUAAGAGUUUACAAUGCCA